rnacentral:siRNA from 1 species
AAUGGAUAGUCCCAAUUAGGCGC